rnacentral:rRNA from 1 species
UACAGAGGUCUCAAGCGUUGUUCGGAUUCAUUGGGCUUAAAGGGUUUGUAGGCGGCGCUGUUAGUCGGGUGUGAAAUCCCAGGGCUCAACCCUGGAACUGCGCCCGAUACUGCAGUGCUUGAGGGAGACAGAGGUAAGCGGAACUGAUGGUGGAGCGGUGAAAUGCGUUGAUAUCAUCAGGAACACCGGUGGCGAAAGCGGCUUACUGGGUCUCUUCUGACGCUGAGAAACGAAAGCUAGGGGAGCGAAGGGG